rnacentral:lncRNA from 1 species
CAGUUAGUCUAUCUGACCUGUGCUUAUGCUUCAGGGGUCUGUGUGUGGUGAAUAGGUUGCCUAUGAGAUCAGCUUCUGCUCAAAGCAAGUCUUAUCUAGGAUAAAUGCAGCUGAAGGGCAGGAACCAAGGUCGUUUAAAAGCAUUGGAGAUCAGUGGUGGAAAGACAUUGGGGACAGAAAAGAAGAAAGGAGAAUAGAAGCCAGUGAAGUGGCUUCUUGUGCACGCCUCUACCGAAGCAUGCCAUUCUGCCCUGCCAGGCUCGGCCCUUGUCUUCCUCUCUCUGGAUUCUAGGGCUAUGAUGAGUCAAUAUUCGUUGACAAAUUAACUGGCUUGGGAAUCACCUGGGAAACACACCUCUGGGCAUGUCUGUGAGGGUCUGAAGAGGUUUUAAAUGGAAGAGGAGGAAACACCAACCCUGAAGGAACUAACCUCCCAAAGGGAACAAAGCCAGGAUCCUGUAAACAAACAAACGGGCUAAUUACAGGUUAGCUAUAGCUGAGAUCUGAAGUGUUUCCAAAAGGCCUUUGUGUUGCUUGGAACUAGGAGAAGGCAGAUGAACCCAGAGGGCAAAAGCAGUCAUGUUCAGAAACCUCUGGAACGCUCAAGGUCACCAACAUGCUAGUGUGGCCCAGUCCUCUGUGUCCUCUUUUCUGUGAGCCCUGAAGAUAUCCUUCUCACAACUGCACACAGCUGGCCUUCCUGGCCUUUGGCUCUUGGUGUGUGAAAGUCUACAGAACUGAAGAGCUCCAGCCCUCAACAUGACAGAAUGUCUGGAACCCGAGGGCAGGAUUGUUUGUCACUCAGGCAUCAGAAGACAAAGGCAACUGGAUGGUUUUGAAGCUCAUCAAUUUGAAAAGCACCGGUCCUGGGCACGGUGGUGCACGCCUUUAAUUCCGGCACUUGGAAGGUGGAAGCAGUAGGACCAGUUUUCAAUGGCGGCUUUGUGAGGAAUUGUGAAGGAUGUCGCAAGUACCCUACUAUUAAUUAUGAAGUGCUGUAAUUUGUGGAC